rnacentral:rRNA from 1 species
AGCGAACGCUGGCGGCAGGCCUAACACAUGCAAGUCGAACGGAUCCUUCGGGAUUAGUGGCGGACGGGUGAGUAACACGUGGGGACGUGCCCUUUGGUUCGGAACAACUCAGGGAAACUUGAGCUAAUACCGGAUGCGCCCUUCGGGGGAAAGAUUUAUCGCCAUUGGAGCGGCCCGCGUCUGAUUAGCUAGUUGGUGAGGUAACGGCCCACCAAGGCGACGAUCAGUAGCUGGUCUGAGAGGAUGAUCAGCCACACUGGGACUGAGACACGGCCCAGACUCCUACGGGAGGCAGCAGUGGGGAAUCUUGCGCAAUGGGCGAAAGCCUGACGCAGCCAUGCCGCGUGAAUGAUGAAGGUCUUAGGAUUGUAAAAUUCUUUCAGCGGGGACGAUAAUGACGGUACCCGCAGAAGAAGCUCCGGCUAACUUCGUG